CCUACGGGAGGCAGCAGUGAGGAAUAUUGGUCAAUGGACGAGAGUCUGAACCAGCACAGUAGCGUGAAGGAUGACUGCCCCAUGGGUUGUAAACUUCUUUUAUAUGGGAAUAAAAUGUUCCACGUGUGGGCUUUUGUAUGUACCAUAUGAAUAAGGAUCGGCUAACUCCGUGCCAGCAGCCGCGGUAAUACGGAGGAUCCGAGCGUUAUCCGGAUUUAUUGGGUUUAAAGUGAGCGUAGGUGGAUUGUUAAGUCAGGUGUGAAAGUUUGCGGCUCAACCGUAAAAUUGCAGUUGAAACUGGCAGUCUUGAGUACAGUAGAGGUGGGCGGAAUUCGUGGUGUAGCGGUGAAAUGCUUAGAUAUCACGAAGAACUCCGAUUGCGAAGGCAGCUCACUGGACUGCAACGGACACUGAGGCUCGAAAGUGUGGGUAGCAAACAGGAUUAGAUACCCCAGUAGUC
rnacentral:rRNA from 1 species